GACGAACGCUGGCGGCGUGCUUAACACAUGCAAGUCGAGCGGAAAGGCCACUUCGGUGGUACUCGAGCGGCGAACGGGUGAGUAACACGUGAGUAAUCUGCCCUUCACUUUGGGAUAACCCCCGGAAACGGGAGCUAAUACCGGAUACGACCUUCAACCGCAUGGUUUGUUGGUGGAAACUUUUUGGGUGGGGGAUGUGCUCGCGGCCUAUCAGCUUGUUGGUGGGGUAAUGGCCUACCAAGGCUUUGACGGGUAGCCGGCCUGAGAGGGUGACCGGCCACACUGGGACUGAGACACGGCCCAGACUCCUACGGGAGGCAGCAGUGGGGAAUAUUGGACAAUGGGCGGAAGCCUGAUCCAGCAACGCCGCGUGAGGGAUGACGGCCUUCGGGUUGUAAACCUCUUUCAGCAGGGACGAAGCGCAAGUGACGGUACCCGCAGAAGAAGCACCGGCCAACUACGUGCCAGCCGCCGCAGUAAAAC
rnacentral:rRNA from 1 species